UACAUAAUAGUUGGUAUAUAAGCGAUUCUUCACAUUAAUGGUUAAGUCUCCGAGUAUACAAGUUAUCCACGUCUCCUAUUCAGACAACAAUGACUCGAGUGCUCGUCGUCCUCGCAGUGCUGGCUGCUCUCGCGGUUGCAGCAGUACAGUGUAUUAUGCCACUAACAACCGACCACCCAUCAGUCCACCGUAGACAUCAUCUCCGUGCACCACAUGAUUCUUAUAGGAGUGCCGCGGAGGAUCAGUAUUCCCGGCAGUCGUGGGAUCCGUUGUGGAGCGGGAGGAGAAAACGUGAAAUAGAAUAACGGCGGAUUGAAUAACGCACAAUAUGUCAACAUAUGUGUGAUAUAAUCCAGGAAAUAAAAAUGUUUAUCGCAAAGCAAA